rnacentral:rRNA from 1 species
UACGAAGGGGGCUAGCGUUGCUCGGAAUCACUGGGCGUAAAGGGUGCGUAGGCGGGUCUUUAAGUCAGGGGUGAAAUCCUGGAGCUCAACUCCAGAACUGCCUUUGAUACUGAAGAUCUUGAGUUCGGGAGAGGUGAGUGGAACUGCGAGUGUAGAGGUGAAAUUCGUAGAUAUUCGCAAGAACACCAGUGGCGAAGGCGGCUAACUGGUCCGGUUCUGACGCUGAGGCGCGAAAGCGUGGGGAGCAAACAGG